rnacentral:rRNA from 1 species
CCUACGGGAGGCAGCAGUGAGGAAUAUUGGUCAAUGGGCUUACGCCUGAACCAGCCAAGUCGCGUGAGGGAAGACUGCCCUAUGGGUUGUAAACCUCUUUUGUCAGGGAGCAACGCCGGCUACGUGUAGCCGGACUGAGAGUACCUGAAGAAAAAGCAUCGGCUAACUCCGUGCCAGCAGCCGCGGUAAUACGGAGGAUGCGAGCGUUAUCCGGAUUUAUUGGGUUUAAAGGGUGCGUAGGCGGAAUGCCAAGUCAGCGGUAAAAUCGCGGGGCUCAACCUCGCUCCGCCGUUGAAACUGGCGUGCUUGAGUGGGUGAGAAGUAUGCGGAAUGCGUGGUGUAGCGGUGAAAUGCAUAGAUAUCACGCAGAACUCCGAUUGCGAAGGCAGCAUACCGGCGCCCAACUGACGCUGAAGCACGAAAGCGUGGGUAUCGAACAGGAUUAGAUACCCUGGUAGUC